rnacentral:rRNA from 1 species
UAGGCGUCGACCGGCGCACGGGUGAGUAACGCGUAUCCAACCUGCCCAUCACUUGGGGAUAACCUUGCGAAAGUAAGACUAAUACCCAAUGACGUCUCUAGAAGACAUCUGAAAGAGAUUAAAGAUUUAUCGGUGAUGGAUGGGGAUGCGUCUGAUUAGCUUGUUGGCGGGGUAACGGCCCACCAAGGCGACGAUCAGUAGGGGGUUCUGAGAGGAAGGUCCCCCACAUUGGAACUGAGACACGGUCCAAACUCCUACGGGAGGCAGCAGUGAGGAAUAUUGGUCAAUGGGCGAGAGCCUGAACCAGCCAAGUAGCGUGCAGGACGACGGCCCUAUGGGUUGUAAACUGCUUUUAUAAGGGAAUAAAGUGAGUCUCGUGAGGCUUUUUGCAUGUACCUUAUGAAUAAGGACCGGCUAAUUCCGUG